rnacentral:rRNA from 1 species
AACCGGGGGAACUGAAACAUCUAAGUACCCCGAGGAAAAGAAAUCAACCGAGAUUCCCCCAGUAGCGGCGAGCGAACGGGGAGGAGCCCAGAGCCUGAAUCAGCAUGUGUGUUAGUGGAAGCGUCUGGAAAGGCGCGCGAUACAGGGUGACAGCCCCGUACACAAAAGCGCAUGUGCUGUGAGCUCGAUGAGUAGGGCGGGACACGUGGUAUCCUGUCUGAAUAUGGGGGGACCAUCCUCCAAGGCUAAAUACUCCUGACUGACCGAUAGUGAACCAGUACCGUGAGGGAAAGGCGAAAAGAACCCCGGCGAGGGGAGUGAAAAAGAACCUGAAACCGUGUACGUACAAGCAGUGGGAGC